UAGAGCUGCAGCUGAUUUGAGAGUUUCGGGAAAAGAGAAGAUUGUUGCCGAAGCUCCCCUUAUUUGUCUUUGAUUGAGUUUUGUCUGCGUCUAUUUAUAAAGUAACUGGUGUCGGAGUCAUGGAGAGACGCCGAUGGACCACAGUCAGGGCUGGCCGAAGCCAACUAGGUUGAAGACAGAGGAGAGGCGGCGUAAGGCUUGGACUCCUUCCCCUUCAAGAUUCUCGUCUGUGACCCUGACACCAGCAUGGAUAAAUGAAGCAUCAUGGACGGAGAGGAUCACAGCUCUUCCAGGAUUUUGAACUGUUUGCCUCAACCUGCCCAGCUGCCAGAUCAUCUGUUCCUUCACAGCUUUAAACUACAUCCAGCCUCACUUUAAAAAUAAACCUUUUGAACAGUG